rnacentral:lncRNA from 1 species
CAGCCAUAUUGACUUCAGAGGUUGGAGGGGUGGAGGAGGAGGUAGAAGCAGCAGGGUUGGAGGGUUGGAGGAAAUAGUAGCAGCAGGGUUGUAGGGUUUUGAGGAGGAGGUAGAAGCAGUAGGUUUGGACAGUUGGAGGAGGUAGAAACAGCAGGGUUGGACGGUUGGAGACGGAGGAAGAAGCAGCAGGGUUGGAGGGUUGGAGGAGGAGGUAGAAGCAGCAGGGUUGGACGGUUGGAGGAGGAGGUAGUAGCAGCAGGGUUGGAGGGUUGGAUGAGGAGGUAGUAGCAGCAGGGUUGGCGGAUGAGGUAGAAGCGGUAGGGUUGGAGGAGGAGGUAGAAGCAGCAGUGUUGGACGGUUGGAGGAGAAGGUAGUAGCAGCAGGGUUGGAGGAGGAGGUAGAAGCAGCAGGGUUGGAGGGUUGGAUGAGGAGGUAGAAGUAGCAGGGUUGGAUGAGGAGGUGGUAGUAGUAGCGGGGUUAGUGUCGGAUGAGGAGGUAGAAGUAGCAGGCUUGGAUGAGGAGGUGGUAGUAGUAGCAGGGUUAGUGUCGGAUGAGGAGGUAGUAGCAGCAGGCUUGGAUGAGGAGGUAGAAGCAGCAGGGUUGGCAGAUGAGGUAGAAGCGGUAGGGUUGGAAGAGAAGGUAGAAGCAGCAGGGUUGGACGGUUGGAGGAGAAGGUAGUAGCAGCAGGGUUGAAGGAGGAGGUAGUAGCAGCAGGGUUGAAGGAGGAGGUAGUAGCAGCAGGGUUGGAGGGUUGGAUGAGGAGGUAGAAGCAGGAUGGUUGGAUGAGGAGGUAGUAGCAGCAGGGUUGAAGGAGGAGGUAGAAGCAGCAGAGUUGGAGAAGGAGGUAGUAGUGGCAGGGUUGGACGGUUGGAGGAGGAGGUAGUAGCAGCAGGGUUGGACCGUUGGAGGAGGUAGAAGCAGCAGGGUUGGAGGGUUGGAGGAGGUAGAAGCAGCAGGGUUGGACGGUUGGAGGAGGAGGUA